GCGGGCGUAGCCAAGUGGUAAGGCAGUAGACUGUGACUCUAUUAUGCGCGGGUUCAAUCCCCGUCGUUCGCC
rnacentral:tRNA from 1 species